UCCGCUUCCACUCUUAUAAAGAGGUGACCCAGUUAAAUUUUGUUGUUACACAUCUUUACUUGGCAUCAACUUCUUGAAGCAAGCAUACAAUCCAUUUUGUAAAUUCCAAAUCCUAUUCCAUAUUUGGGUUCAAAUAAUAGAACUUUGGAUUCCAAAAGUGACCAAUUGCAUGCAGGGGGCAAUGAACUUAACAUGUCCAUCUAUUAUGAAUGAUUGUAAAUACAUCCUUGUAUUUACUUUCACUGUUGUUAUUGAAUGACUUCAUUUUUGUUUCCUUGACUUUCUUUAUUGCUUCAUAUAUAUAGCCCAUAGCUACUUUUCUUUCCCCAUCCACCAGACGAAGUACAUGAACAAGAGGAGCCAUGACUUUAAGAGUAAAUACAACAUGAUUCCAAAAGAAAGGAAAAAAAAUAAUUUUUGUAGCUCAUGUUGUGAAUGUAGUUAGUCAGUUUAUGCAUGAUCCGAGAGAUAUUUUACAAGCUAUGAACAAAAUCCUUCAUUAUUUUAAGACAAGUACAGGAAGGGGAUUAUUGUUCAAGAGGAAUGAAAAACUAAAAAUAAAAGUGUAUACUGAUGCAGAUUAUGCAGUGUCACAAAUAGAAAAUCUACCUCAGGAUAUGCAUGUUCUUGGGUGGAUAUUUGAUGACUUGGAGAAGUAAGAAACAAAAUGUUGCAAGUAUCAGCCAUGGCAUCGCCAUGGCGGAUUUCGGUGGCAAUUUUCCUGACCACCGCCACAACAAGGCGGUGGUGAAUCAGAUUUUUCAUUGCAGCCCAUGGCGGCCGCUAUCGCCAUGUCGGAGUUCUAACGAAUAUCGGAAAUAUCCAAAAUAUCGGAAAAAAAUGGUGGCAGCAGAGCAUGAAGAAGAAGAGUUGCAGUUGAUGAAGAAGAAGGUCGGGGCUGAUGAAGAAGAAGGUCGGGGCUGAUGAAGAAGAAGGUCGGGGCUGAUGAAGAAGAAGGUCGGGGCUGAAGUAGAAAAAGGUUGUGGAAGACCUAAACCUAGUUUUUAAAAAACAAAAGUUGGUUGAUUCUCCCUGCACCCAAUCAAUUCUGAUUGGCACCCAAUUGUCUGUUUGAAGUGUCCAUAACACCCUUAAUGAUCUAUGUGAAAUGACCAUAACACCCUUAAUGAAGUGAAAUUAGGUUACAUGCACCCAACAACCAAGCACAGUGCACAAUGUCGUUCAUUGUUUUUUGUGGACAUUCUCUUCCGGAAGCCUUACACACACGCAAGCACCGUUCAACGUCGUUCAGGCAACGCUUUUGAGCCACUUCGACAGUGACAGAGAGCGAAGGCACCGGAGAAGUAGAUGCGUCGCAGAACAGUGAGUUUUUGCAUUUCUUGUGGGUUCCGAAUAUUUUUGUCCAUAACUGUGUUAUGAGUUUUGGAUAUAAACAUCUGUAUGCACUGCAGAUGAGCUUAUCCAGAAGUCUUUUUCAUUAGGUCCGGAUUUGAAAAUCCAAAAUGUGUUUAUUGGGUAUUUUUUUUCUGCUCUCAAUGAUGUUCUAUCUCUGCCCUCAAUGGUUAAUGCAUUUGGAAGUAUAUAAAUGAUAAUAUAAAUAUUUUAGAAUGAAAAGCAAGUGCUUUGGUUUUAUGGAUACCUUUUAAUGUUCAGUUUACUUGUAUUUUAUAAAUUGGUUUGGUUUAGUGGUUUUAAUCCAUUAAAAGUAACAAAAUCAUCACACUGCCAAAAAAGAAAGUUCAGGAUGAUUGGCUUCUGGAUAUGUAUAUCCAUAAGCAUGAUGGUGCCUUCCGGAUAAAAAUGUUCGUAGUCAAAGAGUGCUAGUUCCGGAUCCAAAAUAUCGGAAAAAAAUGGUGGCAGCAGAGCAUGAAGAAGAAGAGUUGCCGUUGAUGAAGAAGAAGGUCGGGGCUGAUGAAGAAGAAGGUCGGGUUGAUGUAGAAAAAG
rnacentral:lncRNA from 1 species